rnacentral:snoRNA from 1 species
UUUCAUGACGAUAAAGAGCAGUACGCUCGAUAACCCAGCUCGUUGAGGAGGGAGUAACGCCCCAUUUAUUCCUUUGAGAUCACACUUUUUCUGAUUCA